GUGUCAGCCGCCGCGGUAAUACGUAGGGUGCGAGCGUUAAUCGGAAUUACUGGGCGUAAAGCGAGCGCAGACGGUUAUUUAAGCAAGAUGUGAAAGCCCCGGGCUCAACCUGGGAACUGCGUUUUGAACUGGGUAACUAGAGUGUGUCAGAGGGGGGUAGAAUUCCACGUGUAGCAGUGAAAUGCGUAGAGAUGUGGAGGAAUACCGAUGGCGAAGGCAGCCCCCUGGGAUAACACUGACGUUCAUGCUCGAAAGCGUGGGUAGCAAACAGGAUUAGAUACCCUGGUAGUCCACGCCCUAAACGAUGUCAAUUAGCUGUUGGGGUACAUGAUGCCUUAGUAGCGUAGCUAACGCGUGAAAUUGACCGCCUGGGGAGUACGGUCGCAAGAUUAAAACUCAAAUAAAUUGACGG
rnacentral:rRNA from 1 species